AUGAACUUUUUGCCAAGACAUGCAUCCACCGUGAUGCGAUCCGUGUUCUUAUCACCAACUGCAGUGGAUUAUGCCCGGUACCAUCCAACGCCUGACAUGAUUGUGAACAGAUACAAGUUGCGAGGUGAUAUCCGCCUCAUGAACCUUUCAGGGAUGGCGUGUACUGCGUCAGUGACUGCGGUGGGGAUUGCGAGCAACAUGCUGCAGGUCAUGCCUUGGGGGUCAUACGCAUUGGUGGUAUCUACGGAGAUCAUUGGGCCAUUAUACUAUGCAGGAAAUAUGCGUUCCAUGCAGUUGUCUAACAUAUUGUUUCGUAUGGGCGGUGCCGCCAAGCUCUUGUCGACUGCUAGGACCAAGGCUCGAUUUCGGUUUGAGCAUUUGGCCCAGACAAUCACUGCAGCAAAUGAUGCUGCCUACCGGUGUGUAUAUCAAGAGGAAGAUGAGAAGGGAAACUUUGGGACUGCUUUUUCUAAAGACCUUAUAGGUGUCGCAAGAGAUGCACUGAAGGAAAAUAUCACGGUAACCGGGCCUCUUGUCCUACCGGGGUCAGAGCUUCUCAGAGUUUUGCUCCAUCGCAUGGCGAAAAAGGUGCUCAGCUCAAGGAGGGCGAGACAAUACAUCCCCAGCUUUUGUCUUGCAUUUGAGCAUUUCUGCAUCCAUGUUGGUGGACCAGCGGUUAUCACCUCAGUACAACAUGGCCUCAAUCUAUCAGACAAGCAUGUUGAGGCAUCACGAAUGACGCUACAUCGAUUUGGAAACCAGUUGAGUGCAUCGGUGUGGUAUGAGUUGGCAUACAUCGAAGCUAAAGGCUGGAUGAACAAAGGCAACAGGGUGUGGAUGAUUGGGUUCGGUGCAGGGUACGAAUGCAACACUGUUGGGUGGAUCUGUAUACAACCAUCUUCUAGUGCAGAUGGACCCUGGGCUAGCUGCAUCCAUCGUUACCCAGUCGACAUCUAG
rnacentral:rRNA from 1 species